rnacentral:tRNA from 1 species
GCUGGAGUAGCUCAACGGUAGAGCAUCCGCCUUGUAAGCGGACGGUUGAGGGUUCGAGUCCUUUCUCCAGCA